rnacentral:rRNA from 1 species
GAUGAACGCUGGCGGCGUGCUUAACACAUGCAAGUCGAACGGUGAAGCUCCAGCUUGCUGGAGUGGAUCAGUGGCGAACGGGUGAGUAACACGUGAGCAACCUGCCCCUGACUCUGGGAUAACAGCCGGAAACGGCUGCUAAUACCGGAUAUGCACCAUGAACGCAUGUUCUGUGGUGGGAAAGAUUUUUCGGUUGGGGAUGGGCUCGCGGCCUAUCAGCUUGUUGGUGAGGUAAUGGCUCACCAAGGCGUCGACGGGUAGCCGGCCUGAGAGGGUGACCGGCCACACUGGGACUGAGACACGGCCCAGACUCCUACGGGAGGCAGCAGUGGGGAAUAUUGCACAAUGGGCGAAAGCCUGAUGCAGCAACGCCGCGUGAGGGAUGACGGCCUUCGGGUUGUAAACCUCUUUUAGCAGGGAAGAAGCGAGAGAGACGGUACCUGCAGAAAAAGCGCCGGCUAACUACGUG